UACGGGGGGAGCAAGCGUUGUUCGGAUUUACUGGGCGUAAAGGGCGGGUAGGCGGCCACUGCAAGUCCGCUGUGAAAUCCCCGAGCUCAACUUGGGAAUUGCAGUGGAUACUGGCAAGCUGGAGUAUGGUAGAGGAAGGUGGAAUUCCCGGUGUAGCAGUGAAAUGCGUAGAGAUCGGGAGGAACACCAGUGGCGAAGGCGGCCUUCUGGACCAAUACUGACGCUCAUGCACGAAAGCGUGGGGAGCAAACAGG
rnacentral:rRNA from 1 species